CAGCCGCCGCGGGAAUACGGAGGAUCCAAGCGUUAUCCGGAAUCAUUGGGUUUAAAGGGUCCGUAGGCGGUCUUGUAAGUCAGUGGUGAAAGCCCAUCGCUCAACGGUGGAACGGCCAUUGAUACUGCAGGACUUGAAUUAUUGGGAAGUAACUAGAAUAUGUAGUGUAGCGGUGAAAUGCUUAGAGAUUACAUGGAAUACCAAUUGCGAAGGCAGGUUACUACCAAUUGAUUGACGCUGAUGGACGAAAGCGUGGGUAGCGAACAGGAUUAGAUACCCCCGUAGUCCCUGUCUCUUAUAC
rnacentral:rRNA from 1 species